AUUGAACGCUGGCGGCAUGCUUUACACAUGCAAGUCGAACGGUAACAGGUUAAGCUGACGAGUGGCGAACGGGUGAGUAAUGCAUCGGAACGUGCCCGAUCGUGGGGGAUAACACUUCGAAAGAAGUGCUAAUACCGCAUACGAUCUGAGGAUGAAAGCGGGGGACCGUAAGGCCUCGCGCGAUCGGAGCGGCCGAUGUCAGAUUAGGUAGUUGGUGGGGUAAAGGCUCACCAAGCCGACGAUCUGUAGCUGGUCUGAGAGGACGACCAGCCACACUGGGACUGAGACACGGCCCAGACUCCUACGGGAGGCAGCAGUGGGGAAUUUUGGACAAUGGGCGCAAGCCUGAUCCAGCAAUGCCGCGUGCAGGAAGAAGGCCUUCGGGUUGUAAACUGCUUUUGUACGGAGCGAAACGGGUAGCGCCAAUACCGCUGCUCAAUGACGGUACUCACAGAAGAAGCACCGGCUAAUCUCGUGCCAGCCGCCGCAGUAAAAC
rnacentral:rRNA from 1 species